UUGUACUUAAUGCUGUGCUGGUACGCAUGCCGAGCUCAUGAGGACGCCGAGCUCCUGGGCGCCUGGCCCACGCAGUCCCAGGUGUACGUUCCACAUCGCUCUCACUUGCUCAAGUCUCGGGGCCGCCGGCAUGACGCCGGGGAGAUCUCAGAGCGAGGCGGAGAUGGUAGAGACCACCCUCUACAUCUCCAACCGGAAGGCGCAUCUUACUACCCAGCAGAAAGAAGAAAACCUCUCUGGGCCAGGACAGCCCAGCCACUGAGAAGCCUCCAUAUUUUGGACGCCCAGCUCCUCCAAUGGACUCCUCGGUUAUUACAGCCCCUCCAGACUACUCCUUUUCCCUGUAAUAGUAAGCGCCCCGUCAUUAUCCUCUGGGUUUGCCGGUGCUCCGUCAUAGAUUGCAAUUACGCCCUCUAUUGCUGAACUCACUUUUGCUGGACUCAGUGGUCUUUGAGGAUGUGGCUGCGGACUUCACCUGGGCAGAGUGGGCUGUGCUAAGUCCUACUCAGAGGGACUCUACAGAGAAUGUGAUGCUUCGAACCUUCAGGAUCUUGGCCUCAGCAGGACUCAGUGGUCUUUGAGGAUGUGGCUGCAGACUUCACCUGGGCAGAGUGGGCUUUGCUAAGUCCUGUUCAGAGGAACUCUACAGAGGUGUGAUGCUUCAAACCUUCAGGAACUUGGCCUCAGCAGGUGGAUCCUGCUUAAAAGGACAUGAUUGAGCUGGGUUUGCAAUAACUUCAACAGAAAUAAGUGAAAGUUCUUAUUUACCAGACACCAAAUCGGCCCAACAAGCUGAACUGAUUGCAUGACUAGGGCUUGUCAGUUAGCCAAAGGUCAAAUAAACAAUGUCUAUACUGAUAGCUGCUAUGCCUUUGGAGUGGCUCGUGAUUUUAAAAUGCUGUGGAAACAGGAUUUCUCACCUCUUCUGGUCAGCCUGUAAAGAAUGGACAGCUCAUCUCAACACUAUUAGACUCCACUCAAUUUCCCAGACAGCUCACGAUCAUGAAGAUACCUGGGCAUUCCAAAUCUGACUCAACAGAGGCCAAAGGACGUGGACCGGCUGAUGCUGCAGUACGCAGGCCUCUCACUGUUGCGGCCUCUCCCGUUGCGGAGCACAGGCUCCGGACGCGCAGGCUCAGCAGCCAUGGCUCACGGGCCCAGCCGCUCUGCGGCAUGUGGGAUCCCCCCGGACCGGGACACGAACCCGUGUCCCCUGCAUCAGCAGGCGGACUCUCAACCACUGCGCCACCAGGGAAGCCCAAGGACUAAUCUCUUGGCGUCACAUCUCUCACCUCAAAAGGGCCUCCCCUGCUGAAUGGACUGCAACUCCUAUUUCUGACACCCCACUUCCACUAAGAGAGGCUCCAUCAAACCAGGAUGAGAAGAACACAACAACAGUGGUAGACAGCUAACCCAAGAGUCCAGACCAGACCUGUAAGAAACUGUCUCUCUCCAUCAAAAUGUCUUCCUCUCUAUCAAAAUUGAAAGUUAUGGGACUUCCCUGGCGGUCCAGUGGUUAAGACACCCCGCUUUCCCUGCAGGAGGCAUGGGUUCCAUCCCUGAUCAGGGAACUAAGAUCCCGCAUGCCGCACGGUACAGCCAAAAAAAUUGAAAGUUAUUGUUCUAUUUCUAGCUAUGUUCUUAGGCCAAUGUUUAGGGUGGAAAGAAAACUCUUUAGUAAAACUAUCACAAAGUAUACGUACUGGGGGAGGUUAACUGAUUGUUGGAUUUGUCAUCAGAUUGCUCCGUCAGUACGAGGCCGAUUAAACCCCUUGUAAUUCCCGUCACUGACUUUUCAGAUGUUCCUAAUGUUAUACCACUUACUCAGACACACCUCCCUCUGGCCUAACUUUUCAGGUUCAAAUUCUCCAAAACACGAAUAUGUCCGUCCCUUGACUGACACUAUCUUCGUUUCUUAGAGACGGCACACAACUCACCCCCGGCCCCCCUCACUGUCCCUUACUGUUUUUUGGCUGUGCCGCACGGCAUGCGGGAUCUUAGUUCCCCGACCAGGGAUCAGACCUGAGCCCCCUGCAGUGGAAGCGCGGAGUCGUAACCACUGGGCCGCUGGGGAAGUCCCCGUGUCCUGUACUUAAUUAACAGAUGUCUUAAAGAGAAAAAUACGAGUUACGUAUGCCAGCAACUCCCCCACCUCCAAUAUCAUACCGAUAGCUUUUGGAAAGUCUGCAGAAGAAAUGGCCCACGGUUUAAAUACUGUGUUAAGGGAACUUCCAGUUAACGAAGCCAUCAACAAAAGCGCUCUAGGUGGAGUCACUUGUGCUCCCCCAGGUUUUGUCUUCAUAUAUGGUAUUGGAACUGACCCACCUUCCCAAGGGUAUUCACAUACAUGUCUGAAGAGCUGGCAAGUAGAAGGUUUAUUUGAUCGGGACGUUAUGUUACCCCAUUGUCUAUCCAGAAAGAGACAGAUGGGACCUCCUUUUUCUCCCCAUUACAGAGUCAGGAGAUCCAUGUGAGGAGGAUACCAAAGAAACCUGGUGGCAAAGUCUUUUUGGUUCCUAGCGCAGGAGUAUAUGUAAACAGGGGUACGCUUAGAAACCUAUCAGCCACCAUUAGUCAAAUGGUUGAAGAAACUGCAAAAAGCACUGCAGCACAGCAGAAAUCCUUUGAUUCCUUAGCCCAAGUUGUGUUAGAUAACAGAAUUGCCUUAGAUCUCCUACUGCCCAAACAAGGAGGCGUUUUAUGCUAUUGGUCACACGGGUUACACUUAUGUUAACACCUCCAGAGAGGUUGAGACACACCCGGAAAAAAUUUUCCGAAGAGCAAAAUGGUUACAAGAUGUAAGAAAGUGAUCCUUUAAGUCAGUGGUCCCCAAUCUUUUUGGCACCAGGAACCAGCUUCAUGGAAGACAGUUUUUCCAUGGACCGGGGCGGGGGCAGGGAGGUAUGGUUCAGGCAGUGACGUGAGUGAUGGGGAGCAGCAGAUGAAGCUUCGCUCGCCUGCCCGCCGCUCACCUCCUGCUGUGCGGCCCGAUUCCUAACAGGCCGAGGACUGGUAGUGGUCCGCAUGCCAAGGGUUGGGGACCCCUGCUUUAAGUGACCUUUUUAGUCAGCUACCCUCAGGACUAGGCAACGUUUUCCGCUUUGCUUUACAGACAAUUGUUAUUUUCAUUAUAUGCACUACCAUCCAUUUCCCUUCCUGGCUAUCAAAUUACUCAUAACAUGUAUCACUGCUUGUUCUAAGCAAAAGCACACAUACAAUGAUUGUACAACAAACUGAGAUGACUGAUCAAAUGUAUAAUCUAUAAAACUUGCCUUCAUCAAUAUAUUUCUAUGAUUACUGCAUUAAAUUACUUUGGUAAAAUAUAUAAUGAUGCUUAAACAAGUUGAAACUGCUGAUCAUUUCUAUAAUUCUGUAUAAGGUAAUGGACAUACACAAUGCACAUAAAGUACAAUUGGCCUAAGUCCUACAGGACACCUUAGAAUUGGCUACCAGUCCUUGCCAAGCAUCCUACUAGUGCAUUCCCCCUGCAAAAGAAAAAAAAAAGGACCGGGCUCUCAAGACCCAGCAUGGAGGGACAUGAUGAAUUGGAAGCAGGUAAGCAACCACCUCGGGACCAAAUAGUUGAUCAUCUAAUGCUUUCUAUCAAAAGAUUUAUGAUCAGAAGGGGGAAGAUGAUGAGGGAAAUCAUAAAUAUUCUGUGGCAGGACAAUCAACUAAGAAAGAAAACAAAAAAACAAAUGACAUGCUCCCUUUGUGGCAAGCUUUUCCCAGUGUUCAAUGUGCAUAUCUAUAUGAUACAUUAACCGGACCUCCUCAAAGCAGCAGGAUGAAAUCAGUCUUUGAGAAAAAGAUGACCCUUUUCUUUAGACGCCUGCAUUUCAAUAUUGUAAUUCUAUGACUAAUAUAUUUCUUUUUCCUCUCAUACAAGGGUACAUGGGGGUCGCACUGACCAAAGGCUUGUCUGUACAUGCAAUAUUAAGGGGAAAAAAACCCAACUUGUUGACUGAACUAUGUACACAGUGCUAAUCUGUCAAUAUGAGACAUAAUUUGUCUCAAAGAUGUAUAAAACUGCAUCUCUGACUCCUGAUCAAUGGAGCAGUUUUCAGACUUUCUGAGAAUGUUUCCUGGGUUAUAAUC